UGGGGAAUCUUGCACAAUGGGCGAAAGCCUGAUGCAGCAACGCCGCGUGCGGGAAGACAGCCCUAGGGUUGUAAACCGCUUUCAGCAGGGAAGAAACUGACGGUACCUGCAGAAGAAGAUGCGGCCAACUACGUGCCAGCAGCCGCGGUGACACGUAGGCAUCAAGCGUUAUCCGGAUUUAUUGGGCGUAAAGAGCUCGUAGGCGGUUCGGUAAGUCGGGUGUGAAAACUCUGGGCUCAACCCAGAGAGGCCACUCGAUACUGCUGUGACUAGAGUGCGGUAGGGGAGCGGGGAAUUCCUGGUGUAGCGGUGAAAUGCGCAGAUAUCAGGAGGAACACCAGUGGCGAAGGCGCCGCUCUGGGCCGUAACUGACGCUGAGGAGCGAAAGCAUGGGUAGCAAACAGGAUUAGAUACCCUGGUAGUCCACACCGUAAACGAUGUGAACUAGCCGUCGGGAUUUAGGUCUCGGUGGCGCAGCUAACGCAUUAAGUUCACCGCCUGGGAGUACGGUCGCAAG
rnacentral:rRNA from 1 species